GGCCCAAUUGACCCUUCCCUAACCCUAAAGACCCAUCAAAUCUUCUUCUUGAUCUAACCUACACAUUAACAAAAAAAAAAAAAAACCUAGAAAGCCCUAAGGAGAAACCAGUCGCCCCUCCCUAAUCUCCCAUCUUCUCCACAUCUCCAAUCCCCCAUCAGUCACACAGUAGCCACCCCCCUCAACCCCAUCUCCCCCAAAACAACUAUUGAACACCCCUAAGCAGAGAGCCGCCUUCCCUACAAGCCACGACUGCCACUUCUUCUCAUCCUUCCUCCGUCUCUUUCUCUGCCGCUUCACGCCGUCAUUGAUGACGAAACUCCCAUCACUCUCAUUCUAUUGCGUGGACAACGCUGCUUCCAACUCCGUCUUUGUCGAGUUACCAAACCCAACCACACCUUCAAACUUCAAUUAAUAUCUAUGAUAUAGAAAAAAACAGAAAGGAGGAGAAACGGACCGACCCGGAAGAACAACUACGAAUUAAGAUAAGCUAAUCCGAAGUUGCCGUUCGAAGGUUUCCGGUCCAACGUUGCAAAUUCGAAGGAUAGAAUUUUUCAUCUAACUUGCUGUUCAAGUUCGGCGUUUGAUUGAGUUCAGAUCAAUUGUUCGUUGGUUGUGCUGUUCUUCUAAAAAAUUAUUCUAUUUUCUUAUUCAGUCUUUUUGAUUUUCGUCUCAAAAUUGGAGUUCCGUAGAGGUUGAUUCCGAUUCGAGUCCUUAUCGCCGAUCAAAGUUUCCAGUCCCGUGCGAUUUCAGUCAAGGUUUUUUGACCAAACUCUGGUUCCGAUUUUCAGUUUGCCUUCUGAAUUACACCUUUGGAUUCAUCAAUAAAAGGUCUAAACCUUACCCUCUCUCUUUCCCUAGUCUUUUAAUUGGAUGGCUUUUGUGUUCUCGAUUAUUGUUUACGUUGUUUAGUUCUAUAUCUGUGGGAUAAGUUUUAAUGGCUAAAAUUGAAACUUCAGUUCUGUUGUCAUGCCUUCAUUAAGAGACAGAGGUUUCAAGGCUUUACGAUUAAUAAUCUAAUAAUAGGAGAAUUAAACUAAUUGAUUACAUUGAUGGGUGGUUUGAAUAUUAAGAUAAGUGUUAGGCCAUGGGGUUGGGAAUCAAGAACAAAAAACGUUGAACAUGUCAUGACUUUCUAUUUAAUGUUUUUUCAUUUAUGUUACUGUAUCACCCGAUAACAGUAUGUUUUAGGCCGGCCACACAUGGGUAGGUAAUAUUAGGACGUUAUAUUAUUAGUUUUCGUGGCGAGAGGUCGUUCCCUUAGUAAAAUUUAUUUGGGGAAUGUCCCGAGGGAUUUGUAUAUAUUUUAUUCCGGGGAAUGUCCCGUAGAACUUUGUAAUGGGAGGUCAAAAGUAGAACUCGUAGUACUUUUAUUCUUAUUUUAUUUUCAUUUUUUUAUUAGGUGGGAACGACCUCAAGCCUCUUGUGUGUUUAUUUUUCUUUUCUGUGUUUAGUUUUACCUCAAUUUGAAUAUUUUAAAAGCCGAUUUGAUCAAGUGCGGAACCGUACUAGUUACGGGACUUGCGGAGUGCCUAACACCUUCUUUCCGAGUCAAAAGGACCCCCUUACCCGAAUCUCUGAUGCAGGUUUAGUUUUGGAAUCUAAAUUGUUUUAAAAGGAAAAAUUAUUUUUAAAAAAAUGGUGACCUGACACACCGAAACCAAUGCCAGGUGGCGACUCUGAAAAAUCCUUUUGAACACAAAUUUUUGUCACUUUCUAAUUGGAAAACCCUUUUAGCUUUACUAAUCUUUUUAUUUAUUUUAAGAGGGUUAGUGAGGUUGUGAAAAAAGGGGUGUGACAGUGUUAUUUCGAACUUAUCAAAAUAGUAACCUAUCGUCGUUCGAUUGAGGUCGAACUCUUCUUUUUGGCGAAGGCCCUUAGCCUUAAAGGGUGUUAUUUCGAACUUAUCGAAAUAGUAACACGUCCUCAGUCCCAGUUGUGGAGAAUCAUGCAUAUUCUUGGGGGGGGGGGGGGUCCUAGUUCGUUUGAUAUUGUUUGCAUCGGAGAGUGUAAUGUUGGAGAGUACGGAACAUUGUUGUUUCGCUUAUGUUCGUUAUGCGCACACAUUGUAGUUUCCAUGUCUGAUUCCUGCCUUCCGAUCUGGAGGUGUCAUCGGCGGGCGAUGUUUCGGUUGUCUUGUAGUAGUUUCCCAUUCUCUGAUUGAGAUAUUUCUUUACUCGCUCGCUCGCCCGCGCGGCAUUUGUGUUCCUAUUUGAGCAAAGAGCAGAAGGUGACUUAAAAUGAUACUUUCCUUACCUCUAUCCGAUGGAUCGGUGAAUGAGAGUAGGUUUGUAAUGUUGCACGUUUUGUCUGGCAUUUCGACGGUUGAUGGGGCGAUGAUUCCGAAAUUCGGUGACUGUAUUCAGCUCUCUUUCCCCUCUUAUGCUGCUCUUUUGCCCUGUGUGGGUUGGGCAUUGCCUUAGCGCUCUUUUUGGCGAGCAAUCGUGUUUCUUAUAUAUGAUCUGGAAGAGACUAGAAAAUUUCACUAAGAAAUCCCCACAGAAGGCGCCAAAUUGUUUGACUCAAAAGAUAUUGGAAUCUUUUUGAAUAAAUCAAUCAAAAAAAAAAUGAAGGGGUAAAUCUCAGUUAAACAUAAUAAAUCCCAGAUCAAUGAGCUAAUUGAAUAAAUAGUACAUAAGUUGAAAUAGAGGUAACCAAACUUAUUGGAACUUUCGUUGUGACUCCCAUUAAUCAAUGGGGGGAGGUUGUUUUACAUCUUUUCUUGGAGAUUGCUAAAUUGUUCUUUUUCUUUAAGAAGAUUGCAGAAGAGGG
rnacentral:lncRNA from 1 species